rnacentral:rRNA from 1 species
GAUGAACGCUGGCGGCGUGCCUACUACAUGCAAGUCGAGCGAAUGGAUUAAGAGCUUGCCCUUAUGAAGUUAGCGGCGGACGGGUGAGUAACACGUGGGUAACCUGCCCAUAAGACUGGGAUAACUCCGGGAAACCGGGGCUAAUACCGGAUAACAUUUUGAACCGCAUGGUUCGAAAUUGAAAGGCGGCUUCGGCUGUCACUUAUGGAUGGACCCGCGUCGCAUUAGCUAGUUGGUGAGGUAACGGCUCACCAAGGCAACGAUGCGUAGCCGAGCUGAGAGGGUGAUCGGCCACACUGGGACUGAGCCACGGCCCAGACUCCUACGGGAGGCAGCAGUAGGGAAUCUUCCGCAAUGGACGAAAGUCUGACGGAGCAACGCCGCGUGAGUGACGAAGGCUUUCGGGUCGUAAAACUCUGUUGUUAGGGAAGAACAAGUGCUAGUUGAAUAAGCUGGCACCUUGACGGUACCUAACCAGAAAGCCACGGCUAACUACGUGCCAGCCGCCGCGGUAA